rnacentral:rRNA from 1 species
GAUGAACGCUGGCGGCGUGCCUAAUACAUGCAAGUCGAGCGAACAGACGAGGAGCUUGCUCCUCUGACGUUAGCGGCGGACGGGUGAGUAACACGUGGAUAACCUACCUAUAAGACUGGGAUAACUUCGGGAAACCGGAGCUAAUACCGGAUAAUAUAUUGAACCGCAUGGUUCAAUAGUGAAAGACGGUUUUGCUGUCACUUAUAGAUGGAUCCGCGCCGCAUUAGCUAGUUGGUAAGGUAACGGCUUACCAAGGCAACGAUGCGUAGCCGACCUGAGAGGGUGAUCGGCCACACUGGAGGUUAGACACGGUCCAGACUCCUACGGGAGGCAGCAGUAGGGAAUCUUACGCAAUGGGCGAAAGCCUGACGGAGCAACGCCGCGUGAGUGAUGAAGGUCUUCGGAUCGUAAAACUCUGUUAUUAGGGAAGAACAAAUGUGUAAUUAACUAUGCACGUCUUGACGGUACCUAAUCAGAAAGCCACGGCUAACUACGUG